UAGAUGUGACGACCGGAAAAAUACGAAUAUUUAUAUUAGUUAUAGAUUAGUAUUUUUUUUGUUAUUAGAUAAUAAAACAUGAAUAAUAUUUUAUGUGUGGUUAAUUCUUUUUAACUUUUUCAUAAAUUUCUCAAAUAAGACAGACGGCCAAACGUUGGACACGGAUACCCACGGCUACACUUAUU
rnacentral:pre_miRNA from 1 species